rnacentral:rRNA from 1 species
GCUUCCUACGGGAGGCUGCAGUAGGGAAUAUUGGGCAAUGGAGGCAACUCUGACCCAGCCAUGCCGCGUGCAGGAAGACGGUCCUCUGGAUUGUAAACUGCUUUUGAAUGGGAAGAAUGUGCUCCUUGCGAGGUGUAAUGACGGUACCAUUAGAAUAAGCCACGGCUAACUACGUGCCAGCAGCCGCGGUAAUACGUAGGUGGCGAGCGUUAUCCGGAUUUAUUGGGUUUAAAGGGUGCGUAGGCGGCUUAAUAAGUCGGUGGUUAAAAGUAGCAGCUUAACUGUUUUACAUGCCAUCGAUACUGUUGAGCUUGAGAUAUUUGGAGGCAGCUAGAAUUUCCGGUGUAGCGGUGAAAUGCAUAGAUACCGGAAGGAAUACCAAUUGCGAAGGCAGGUUGCUACGAAUAAACUGACGCUGAUGCACUGGUAACGUGGGGAUCAAACAGGAUUAGAUACCCUUGUAGUCGAAUUCU